UGGGGAUUAGCUCAGUUGGUAGAGUGCUUGCCCCUCAUGCAAGAGGCCUCUGGGUUCAAUCCCCAGCACCACAA
rfam:Ictidomys tridecemlineatus contig024676, whole genome shotgun sequence.